rnacentral:rRNA from 1 species
AGGGAAUAUUGGACAAUGGGGGAAACCCUGAUCCAGCAAUGCCGCGUGAGUGAUGAAGGCCUUAGGGUUGUAAAGCUCUUUUACCCGAGAUGAUAAUGACAGUAUCGGGAGAAUAAGCUCCGGCUAACUCCGUGCCAGCAGCCGCGGUAAUACGGAGGGAGCUAGCGUUGUUCGGAAUUACUGGGCGUAAAGCGCACGUAGGCGGCGAUCUAAGUCAGAGGUGAAAGCCCGGGGCUCAACCCCGGAAUUGCCUUUGAGACUGGAUUGCUAGAAUCCGGGAGAGGUGAGUGGAAUUCCGAGUGUAGAGGUGAAAUUCGUAGAUAUUCGGAAGAACACCAGUGGCGAAGGCGGCUCACUGGACCGGCAUUGACGCUGAGGUGCGAAAGCGUGGGGAGCAAAC